AGGUUAUUCGAAACAAGGCCUUACUGUUGCUUACUUAUUUGACCCGUGAAGCUGAGGAGAUUCAAAAAAUUGUGGUCUUUGAAGGUGCAUUUGAGAAGAUUUUCAGCAUCAUUAAAGAGGAAGGAGGUUCAGAAGGUGGUGUUGUUGUGCAGGAUUCUGAAGAUCUGGGCCUUGGGAUUGAUAGCUUCAACAACAAUCCCUGCUUCUGAACAUAUAGAGGACUAUAUAAAUGAAGAAGAUGGUUUGAAGUAACUUGAUAUCUUACUGAAAAGUAUAUAACUACACUACCUGUUCAGACUGAGUUGGAAACCAAGAUUUAUGUGAAGUUUUAUGAGCAUAUGACAGAAAUUCUAUUUUGUACA